UGGGCGAGGCCAUGGCCGGCGAGAUGGUCGGCCUUGAAGCGGUCGAGGACGACCACUGGGCUGUUCACCUCGGCCCCGCUCGCC
rnacentral:tRNA from 2 species